rnacentral:rRNA from 1 species
UACGGAGGGUGCGAGCGUUGUCCGGAUUUAUUGGGUUUAAAGGGUGCGUAGGUGGCUUUUUAAGUCAGUGGUGAAAUACAGCCGCUCAACGGUUGAGGUGCCAUUGAUACUGAAGAGCUUGAAACAAGUGGAGGCUGCCGGAAUGGAUGGUGUAGCGGUGAAAUGCGUAGAUAUCAAGAGGAACACCUGAGGUGAAGACGGGUUGCUGGGCUGACACUGACGCUGAGGCGCGAAAGCCAGGGGAGCAAACGGG